rnacentral:rRNA from 1 species
GACGAACGCUGGCGGCGUGCUUAACACAUGCAAGUCGAACGGAAAGGCCCUGCUUUUGUGGGGUUCUCGAGUGGCGAACGUGUGUGUAACACGUGAGUAACCUGCCCUUGACUUUGGGAUAACUUCAGGAAACUGGGGCUAAUACCCGAUAGGAUCUCCUGCUGCAUGGUGGGGGUUGGUAAGUUUCGGCUGUUGGGGAUCGACUCGCGGCUUAUCCGCUUGUUUGUGGGGUAGUGGCUUACCAAGGAUUUGACGGGUAGCCGGCCUGAGAGGGUGACCGGCGAAAUUGGGACUGAGAUAAGGCCCAGAAUGCUACGGGAGGAAGCAGUGGGGAAUAUUGCACAAUGGGAGGAAGCAUGAUGAAGAAACGCCGCGAGCGGGAUGAAGGCCUUCGGGUUGUAAACAGAUUUCGACUGUGACGAAGAGUGAGUGACGGUAAUGGGUAAAGAAGCACCGGCUAACUACGUG